CCCCACUGCUAUCGGGGUGGGACUAAAACAUGCAAGUCGAGCGCCUCCAAGCUAUGGUGAAGGCGCGGCAAACGGCUCAGUAACACGUGGCCAACCUACCCUUGGGACGGAGACAACCCCGGGAAACUGGGGCUAAUCCCCGAUAAGUAAGGAAUCCUGGAAUGGAUCUUUGCUGAAAGGGCGUCUAGACCAUGCUUCUUGACGUCGCCCAAGGAUGGAGCCGCGACCGAUCAGGUAGUUGGCGAGGCAACGGCUCACCAAGCCUAUAACCGGUACGGGCCGUGAGAGCGGGAGCCCGGAGAUGGGCACUGAGACAAGGGCCCAGGCCCUACGGGGCGCAGCAGUUGCGAAAACUCCGCAAUGCGCGAAAGCGUGACGGGGCUACCCCGAGUGCCGCCCGUUGAGGGCGGCUUUUCCACGGUGUAAGGAGCCGUGGGAAUAAGGAGAGGGCAAGACUGGUGUCAGCCGCCGCGGUAAUACCAGCUCUCCGAGUGGUGGGGACGAUUAUUGGGCUUAAAGCGUUCGUAGCCGGCUUAACAAGUCUUCCGUUAAAUCCAACGAUCUAAUCGUUGGGCUGCGGGAGAUACUGUUGGGCUAGGAGGCGGGAGAAGCCGACGGUAUUCUCGGGGUAGGGGUGAAAUCCUGUAAUCCCGGGAGGACCACCAGUGGCGAAGGCGGUCGGCUAGAACGCGCUCGACGGUGAGGGACGAAAGCUGGGGGAGCGAACCGGAUUAGAAACCCGGGUAGUCCCAGCUGUAAACGAUGCGGGCUAGGUGUUGGGGUGGCCACGAGCCACUUCAGUGCCGCAUGGAAGCAAUUAAGCCCGCCGCCUGGGGAGUACGGCCGCAAGGCUGAAACUUAAAGGAAUUGGCGGGGGAGCACCACAAGGCGUGAAGCUUGCGGUUU
rnacentral:rRNA from 1 species